rnacentral:rRNA from 1 species
GCAACCCUGAUCCAGCCAUGCCGCGUGUGUGAAGAAGCCCUUUUGGUUGUAAAGCACUUUAAGCAGUGAAGAAGACUCCAUGGUUAAUACCCAUGGACGAUGACAUUAGCUGCAGAAUAAGCACCGGCUAACUCUGUGCCAGCAGCCGCGGUAAUACAGAGGGUGCAAGCGUUAAUCGGAAUUACUGGGCGUAAAGCGAGCGUAGGUGGCUUGAUAAGUCAGAUGUGAAAGCCCCGGGCUUAACCUGGGAACGGCAUCUGAUACUGUUAGGCUAGAGUAGGUGAGAGGAAGGUAGAAUUCCAGGUGUAGCGGUGAAAUGCGUAGAGAUCUGGAGGAAUACCGAUGGCGAAGGCAGCCUUCUGGCAUCAUACUGACACUGAGGUUCGAAAGCGUGGGUAGCAAACAGGAUUAGAUACCCUGGUAGUCCACGCCGUAAACGAUGUCUACUAGUCGUUGGGUCCCUUGAGGACUUAGUGACGCAGCUAACGCAAUAAGUAGACCGCCUGGGGAGUACGGCCGCA